UCCUUCUAGUGUUGGACUAAAUUGAAUACAAGUAAAGUAGAAGGACUAAUGAUUAACAUCUAAGUAACCUCCCAACUGGGCAGGUACAAAGCGUGACAUUGAUCAUUAAACCCUCCCCCGCGGGCCUGUUCACUGGUAAAGUUUUAUCAACUCCUUACGCAUUUCUACUCGGCAAUUAAAGACUCCGGCUGUCAAAUGCCGUCGGAAGACUAAACCCGGUGACCUCCCAACGAUUCUCUCUCCGCUUGCAGGAUGGGAAAUGAUACCAAGGCUAGUUGUAAGGGUAAGGAUGAGGAAAUUAAUGAUAUAAAAGGGAGAAACAUUGGUAACAGAUCAUCAAGCAGUUUGGGUGCUGCUAAUGAUACUUGUGGUCUAAGAAAGUCAGCUAGAGAAACAUCAUUGAAGAAAAACUUGACUCCAAGCCCUUCAAGUAGUAGAAAGUCUGAACGUAUUGAGAAGCAGACCCCCCUACAAUUCCUCCUGUUACGAGGAAAUCUGAGAGAUUGGUUGAGAAACAAAGUUUACCGACUUCUUCUAGAAGCCUGAGAAGGGUAAGAAUCAGUUGUCAUCUAGUUCUUCUGGUUCAACGAAGUGUGGUAAAAGCUCGGGCUCUUUAAUUAUGGAGGAAAAGCACAAGAAAGAGAAGAGGGUGAAAGAACUUGAAACUGAAGAAGUUGGAAACAGUGACAAACCUGUUAUCAAAACUGUCCUGGUUGGAAUUAAGAGAAUGGAUGCUCGUGCUUACAGGGAGCUGUUCAAACAGAAACAAAAGAAAGCUAAACUGGAAGGUAGCGAAGAUCUGAUAGUAAAUAGGACACCUGGGGUUGAUACUGAGGUGAAGAGUGGUUGCAAAGUGAUGCCUUCUAAACAAAAAAGGAGUAUUGAUGACUUGAAUUUUGAUGCUACGGAAAUGGUUUCAAAUGAAGAUGGCGAUGCAGCUCCAUAUGAGUGCAGCAGAACUGAUUCUGUGGAUUCAUGUUCCAAAAGGCAAAGGUUGAAGAAGCGCAAUAAAGUGUCCAACAGUAACACUGAUGCGCCUUCUCUGAAAACUGCUUUAAUAGGAACUUCUGGAGCUCCAGUGCAGAAGAUGUCUCAAGUCAUGCCAAGUUCAAUUAGCCUUCUUAACACAACUGAUGCGAAUCACGUACCAACUUCUCACAUUUGACCAGUAAAUUUUCACAAGUACUGAAAGCUGACAUGGUUGGGUAUAAUGGAGGAAGGAACUUGCAUGAUGAUUCUGAGAAGAGUCUCCAUCUUUUUUUGAAGCCUGAGAUAGCAGAACUUUGUGAAAUUUUGCAACUCCCAGUAUGCAUCUCAUCCCUCUGAAGAAGUUAAUUUCUCUAGCACUAGUUCAUGAAUGCUGCAGUAGGUUCUUUGAUGUGGUGUAUUGGGUCUGCCUAUCUACUGCUAUUCUUAGUACUUUGAAUUGGUUUCAGAAUUGAUUUUAAGCAUAGAAAUAAAGAAGAAAAAAUCUGGAAAAUGUCAAAGUCAUGGUGGAACAAUUUCUGGAAUAUGUACUGAAUAAUCACCAUGUCAGUAGAGAACCACCUAGCGUAUUGCAGGCGUUUCUGAUAUCCCUGGUUAGAACCUUCUUUUUUCUAUAUUUUCCUGCUGUUUGAUCAUUAAUUUACUUUUGACACAACUCUUACACCCUUUGAUUAAAACAUAAUAAGUCAGUCAUUACUGUAAAAGGAUGCUUUACCAUGUUCAUGUCAUUUUGGAUCAUGGUUGUUGAAUUUGAGGAUAUUUUGAAAUGUUCAUUGCAUUUGCAAUAGCUUUAAUAUCGUACUGGUUGGUUUUGAAUCUGACAGAUCUCUAAAAGCAUGAUAUGUUAUCUACCCUUUCUAAAUUGUUAAUUCCUAUUUUUGCAAUGUGACUGGUUGUUUUAAGAAGUGUAAAAUGACUGAGUUUCGAAAACUAACAAGCAGAGUUGAAGCUUUUCUAUCCUUUGUUGGGGUCAGUUUACACCUUUGAUCUAAAGCAAUAGUAAAUAGGAAUUAAAAAGAGGAGGGAUCGCUAGGGAUACAAGAUUUGCAGCCAAAAAUAUGACCUGACAUAUUGAGGAAAUCUAAGGGAGGUAUUUUUAAAAAAUACCUAUAUCAAACAUUCUAGUA